AGUUCCUAGGCCAGCCUGUCACGUGGGAGGGAGGCUCGGAGCUCAGGAAGCAUGGCACUCUGGCGGGCAUACCAGCGGGCCCUGGCUGCUCACCCGUGGAAAGUACAGGUCCUGACAGCUGCAGCUGGUGGAGAGGCGGGGUCUGCAGGAACACCAGAGAGGCCGGACUCUGACCAUGGUGUCCCUGGGCUGUGGCUUUGUGGGCCCUGUGGUAGGAGGCUGGUACAAGGUUUUGGAUCGGUUCAUCCCUGGCACCACCAAAGUGGAUGCACUGAAGAAGAUGUUGUUGGAUCAGGGGGGCUUUGCCCCGUGUUUUCUAGGCUGCUUUCUCCCACUGGUAGGGGCACUUAAUGGACUGCCAGCCCAGGACAACUGGGCCAAACUACAGCGGGUGAGCUGGGCAGGUGUGGAGAAUGUCUCUGGCUGGCGGGCUGACAGCCCAGGGGAAGAAGACAGGUUUUACAGGGAUAAAAAAGGGGGUAAGUGCAGGUAGAGCCCCAGGCCAUGGAGGAGAGGAGCUGAGGGUUAUGGUGCAGGAAUGUGCUCUUUGAACCCAAGUCUGUGUGUGACAUUCACACUGGGAAGUGGGAGCUGCUUGGGGGCGCAAGUGUUAAUUUGUUCCUUCUCUGUCUCCCCAGGAUUAUCCUGAUGCCCUUAUCACCAACUACUAU
rnacentral:sRNA from 1 species